CACUGAGAUGUUAUUCUGACACUCUUCGCUGGGUUCAUCUACUGCCGUCCCUCACACAGGUACAUGGGUAGAAAAUAUUUUCAACAUAAAUCACAAAAUGAAAAAUAAGGAGAAAAAUAAGAAAAUGAAGGAAAGCGUCAUUAUUGGAAGUGGAGUCAUGAGAUGGCUUCUAGAACCCAGCCAGACCAAGCAGCACAGAGAUCAAACAUGGACACAUAAUAAUAAAGCUGGAAGAAAUUCAAGAACCCA
rnacentral:lncRNA from 1 species